GACGUAGGGGGCGAACGUUAUCCGGAAUUAUUGGGCGUAAAGGGUGCGUAGGCGGCAUGAUAAGUUAUUGGCGGGAAAUCGAGGCUCAACCUCGUGGAAACUAAUAAUACUGUUUUGCUUGAGUACAGGAGAGGUUAACGGAACUCCAUGUGGAGCGGUAAAAUGUGUAGAUAUAUGGAAGAACAUCAAUAACGGCGAAGGCAGUUAACUAUUCUGUUACUGACGUUGAGGCACGAAAGCGUGGGGAGCAAAACGG
rnacentral:rRNA from 1 species